CACGUAGGAGGCGAGCGUUGUCCGGAAUCAUUGGGCGUAAAGAGCGCGCAGGCGGCUUGGCAAGUCGGGUGUGAAAGUCCCGGGGCUCCAACCCCGUGACUGCAUUCGAUACUGUCAGGCUAGAGGUAGGUAGGGGAGAUCGGAAUUCCUGGUGUAGCGGUGAAAUGCGCAGAUAUCAGGAGGAACACCGGUGGCGAAGGCGGGUCUCUGGGCCGUAACUGACGCUGAGGAGCGAAAGCAUGGGGAGCGAACAGG
rnacentral:rRNA from 1 species